CCGUGGAGGAGCGCAACCUGCUGUCCGUCGCCUACAAGAACGUCAUCGGCGCCCGCAGGGCCUCGUGGCGGAUCAUCUCCUCCAUCGAGCAGAAGGAGGAGGGCCGCGGGAACGAGGCGCACGCCGCCUCCAUCCGCGCCUACCGCUCCAAGAUCGAGACCGAGCUCGCCCGCAUCUGCGACGGCAUCCUCGCCCUGCUCGACUCCCACCUCGUCCCAUCCGCCGGCGGCGCCGAGUCCAAGGUCUUCUACCUCAAGAUGAAGGGUGACUACCACAGGUACCUUGCUGAGUUCAAGUCUGGUGCAGAGAGGAAGGAUGCUGCGGAGAGCACCAUGAAUGCCUACAAAGCUGCUCAGGACAUUGCUCUUGCAGAUCUGGCC